UGUUAUCAAAUAAAUAAAAAAAUAAAGAAUUAACUAUAGUUAAACCCAUGAACAUGUAUCAACUUUUGAGAGGAGUGGUGGUGAGGGUAUACCUAGGGUUAAGAUGGUGAGCAAAAAUGCACCCAUUUUAUUUAUAAAAUGCACCCAUUUUAUUUAUAAAGAAAACAUUAAAUUUUAACCGAGUUUCUCUCUUCCGCCUCUCUCUUCUCCUUCAACGAGUUUCUCUUCCCUCGACCCGCUUCCGUCCGGUGAGAGGUGUCUCAUCCUUCUCCUAUAUUCUCCCUCUUUCUCCUCCACCUCCACCUGCUCAGAGAUCCCACUGCCGCGACGAAAACCAGGAUAACAGAGGCGAAACCCUCGCAGGUGGGUUUCAGAUUCUGAAGAUUUGAGCUUCAGACUCAGAGACGCUGAAGAUGAUUAUGAGGAUGUGGAGACCUGCUUCUACUUAUCCCAACCUACGCAGACACAGAGGAGGACAACCUAAUGUCAGGACAUUUACGGUAAUGAUUAGUGGACUUUGUAGCAAGGGCCGAAUUAAUGAAGCGGAAAACUUACUUACACUAAUGAAGGAGAGGGGUUGUUCUCCAAAUGGUUGCACCUACAACACAAUUAUUCGAGGGUGUAUCAAUAAUAAAGAGACAUCAAGGGCGAUCAGACUAGUUCAAGAAAUGGCAGACAUGGGUUUCGCUGCAGAUAAUUCAACCAUGAAAUGGGUAGUUGAUUUAUUGUCCAAGGAUAAACUAGAUCCUGAAUUGGUUAAACGUAUUUGGUAUUUUAAAUUAUUUUACACAGUUCUUAAACGUAAGAAUCACUCCAUAUAAAAGCUAGCUGUGCUUCAGAAACUUCUUUUCCUUCAUCUUUUUUGGGUGAAAUUGGGGGUGACUUUUCCUUCAUUUUUCCUAUUAAAGUUGUGUACUGUGCUUUAGCAAUCUUACAAGUGCCUUGGGCUAUCCUACCUAUUCAAUUGAUUUUGAGAUGGAUGCCUAAAUUCUUCUUAUAGGAUCAGAGCAUGUUCGCCCACGAUUGUUAGGCCGAGAGGCCACACGUACUUUCAUCCGAUAUAAGUUGUCCAUGUGUUUGGCUCAUAAAAGGACUUCCGUCUACGAGAUAUGAGUAUGAAGAAUGGUAUGGCGAGGCACAUAGAACACCAGAAUAUCAGGUAAGGUAAUUUAUUCUGCAUAUCUAGGCUUCUAUGGAAAUAUUCAGUCCACCAAGCAUUACUCUUGGUAUCUGAAUGUUAACUUCCAACUUUCAACAAAAACUCUGGCCUGCUUAAUUUGUUGUUAUGAAGUUCGCUUUCAAUUUGCAGCAAAUGUA